AAGAAAAUAAAAAUAUCUCCAAUUUAAAUGAAAAUUGUCUAUCCGACGUUGUGAGCGAAGACCAUCUUUUAUUCAAAUUUGAAACAAAUAAUGAGUUAAAUAUUGACAAUAAAGUAAAUGAACAAGAAAGAGAAAUUGACGAAAAUAGUGACACAAAUCAGUUUCAGGAUCAAUCGGAAUUAUUAAAUGAGGACUUGAUUGAUUCAAAUGGGUCACAAGGUUCAAAAAAUAGUGAAAAAAUUGAAGAACUUUUUAUUUCAAAAGAACCAAAGUCAAAAA